rnacentral:rRNA from 1 species
AUGGAGGCCAAGCCAGGGGAAGCGAGCUCUCCGACCGCAACUGCGGCUGCGGCUGCACCGGUAGCAGCAGCGGCGGUGCCGGAGGCUACGGUGAGCUUCCAGUCGCCGGCAUCUGUGCCGCCUCCGGCAGCUUCACAUGCACCUGUACCGUCUCCGGUGGAGAUGGUUAGCUCGAGUGGCCUGUUUGUGCCGCCGGGUAUGAUGACGGCGAUGGUGGCGGCCGCAGGAAGAGGGGCUCUGUCCGCGGGGCCGUUGGUGAAGGUGGGGAAGAAGCGGGGGAGGCCAAGGAAGUACGGGCCUGACGGGAGCCUGAUCCAGCCGUUGAACGCCACGCCGAUCUCCGCGUCGGCUCCGAUGUCGGCCGCCGUCGCAGCGGGGCAGUACACGCCUGCGGCCGCGGUUGGCGCCGCCAUGAAGCGCGGGAGGGGCCGGCCCCUCGACUUCGCCGCCGCGGCGGCCAAGCCGUACCACCACCAGCUGCAGCAGCCGGCGCAGCAGCAGUUCGGUUUCCACUUCAGCUCCAUUGGUGACAUGGUGGCUUGUUCUGCUGGUGGGAAUUUCACUCCUCAUAUCAUUACUGUUGCUCCUGGUGAGGAUGUGACGAUGAAGGUUAUAUCAUUUUCUCAACAAGGACCGCGAGCUAUUUGUAUUCUCUCUGCUAACGGUGUGAUAUCAAAUGUUACACUUCGUCAACCGGACUCCUCUGGCGGCACGUUAACUUAUGAGGGACGCUUUGAGUUGCUGUCCUUGUCUGGUUCCUUCAUGCCAACUGAAAAUAGUGGCACACGAAGUCGGUCAGGCGGAAUGAGUGUUUCUCUUGCCAGCCCAGAUGGUCGUGUUGUCGGUGGUGGAGUUGCUGGCCUUCUGGUAGCGGCUAGUCCUGUUCAGAUUGUCGUGGGAAGCUUCCUGCCAAGCUAUCCGAUGGAGCCGAAGCAGAAGAAGGCAAGGGUGGUCGCGGCACCAACCCUUAGCCAGGCCCCCCCUGCUGUUCGGCUCUCUAGUGCGGAUACGCACAGCAGCGAGCAAGGGCAUCACAGCUUGGCCGCCCCGAGAAUGAACGUUGUAACUUCUUCAGCGUACAGCGCAGACCAGAACUGGGCAUCCACGGUUGUUCAGUCAGCUCCUGCCGAGGCAUCAAGAAGCGCAUCGUCGGGCGAUCUGAACCUCACUGCCUCUGGAUCCUGA